GACGAACGCUGGCGGCGCGCUUAAUACAUGCAAGUCGAACGGUGAACGGGGCUUCGGCCCCGGGAUCAGUGGCGAACGGGUGCGUAACACGUGGGCAACCUGCCCCUCACUCUGGGAUAACCCCGGGAAACCGGAGCUAAUACCGGAUACUCCGCGCGAGCCGCAUGGCUCGAACGGGAAAGGUCCGCCGGUGAGGGAUGGGCCCGCGGCCUAUCAGCUUGUUGGUGAGGUAACGGCUCACCAAGGCUUCGACGGGUAGCUGGUCUGAGAGGACGACCAGCCACACUGGGACUGAGAUACGGCCCAGACUCCUACGGGAGGCAGCAGUAGGGAACCUUCCACAAUGGGCGAAAGCCUGAUGGAGCAACGCCGCGUGAGUGAUGAAGGUUUUCGGAUCGUAAAACUCUGUUGUUAGGGAAGAACACCCGGGAGAGGAUCCCGGUUUGACGGUACCUAACGAGAAAGCCCCGGCUAACUACGUGCCAGCCGCCGCGGUAAAAC
rnacentral:rRNA from 1 species